AACGAACGCUGGCGGCAGGCCUAACACAUGCAAGUCGAGCGCCCCGCAAGGGGAGCGGCGGACGGGUGAGUAACGCGUGGGAAUAUGCCCUUUGCUACGGAAUAGUCUCGGGAAACUGGGGGUAAUACCGUAAACGCCCUUUGGGGGAAAGAUUUAUCGGCGAAGGAUUAGCCCGCGUUGGAUUAGGUAGUUGGUGGGGUAAUGGCCUACCAAGCCGACGAUCCAUAGCUGGUUUGAGAGGAUGAUCAGCCACACUGGGACUGAGACACGGCCCAGACUCCUACGGGAGGCAGCAGUGGGGAAUCUUAGACAAUGGGGGCAACCCUGAUCUAGCCAUGCCGCGUGAGUGAUGAAGGCCUUAGGGUUGUAAAGCUCUUUCAGCUGGGAAGAUAAUGACGGUACCAGCAGAAGAAGCCCCGGCUAACUCCGUG
rnacentral:rRNA from 1 species